rnacentral:rRNA from 1 species
AGUGAACGCUGGCGGCAGGCCUAACACAUGCAAGUCGAACGGCAGCACAGUAAGCGCUCGCCCUUACGGGUGGCGAGUGGCGGACGGGUGAGGCAUACAUCGGAAUCUACUUUUUCGUGGGGGAUAACGUAGGGAAACUUACGCUAAUACCGCAUACGACCUACGGGUGAAAGCAGGGGAUCUUCGGACCUUGCGCGAUUGAUUGAGCCGAUGUCGGAUUAGCUAGUUGGCGGGGUAAAGGCCCACCAAGGCGACGAUCCGUAGCUGGUCUGAGAGGAUGAUCAGCCACACUGGAACUGAGACACGGUCCAGACUCCUACGGGAGGCAGCAGUGGGGAAUAUUGGACAAUGGGCGCAAGCCUGAUCCAGCCAUGCCGCGUGGGUGAAGAAGGUCUUCGGGUUGUAAAGCCCUGUUGUUGGGAAAGAAAAGCAGUAGGUGAAUCCCCCGCUGUUCUGACGGUACCCAAAGAAUAAGCACCGGCUAACUUCGUG